GAUGAACGCUGGCGGCGUGCUUAACACAUGCAAGUCGAACGGAUUUAACAGAAAGCUUGCUUUCGGUUAAAUUAGUGGCGGACGGGUGAGUAACGCGUGGAUAACCUGCCGUAUACAGGGGGAUAACACUUAGAAAUAGGUGCUAAUACCGCAUAAGCGCACAGUUUCGCAUGAGACAGUGUGAAAAACUCCGGUGGUAUACGAUGGAUCCGCGUCUGAUUAGGUAGUUGGUGGGGUAACGGCCCACCAAGCCGACGAUCGGUAGCCGAACUGAGAGGUUGAACGGCCACAUUGGAACUGAGAUACGGUCCAGACUCCUACGGGAGGCAGCAGUGGGGAAUAUUGGGCAAUGGGCGAAAGCCUGACCCAGCGACGCCGCGUGAGGGAAGAAGGUCUUCGGAUUGUAAACCUUGUUGACAGGGAAGAAACAAAUGACGUAACCUGUCGAGGAAGCCACGGCUAACUACGUG
rnacentral:rRNA from 1 species